rnacentral:rRNA from 1 species
GGUGAACGCUGGCGGCGCGCUUAAUGCAUGCAAGUCGAGCGUGACUCGAUGGGGCAACCUGUCGGGUUAAGCGGCAAACGGCUGAAUAACGCGUGAGCAACCUGCCCUCCGGUGGGGUACAGCCCCGAGAAAUCGAGGUUAAUCCCGCAUACGGUCCCCAGGCCCUGGUCUGGGGAAGAAAGCCUUCGGGCGCCGGAGGAGGGGCUCGCGUCCUAUCAGGUAGUUGGCGGGGUAACGGCCCACCAAGCCGAUGACGGGUAGCUGGUCUGAGAGGAUGGCCAGCCAGAGGGGGACUGAGACACGGCCCCA